GAGUGAGCAGCGAUGCACCUAGAGAGCCCUCGAGCGAGAACCCCACUGUCGUCUCCCGUAGAUGCAGCCGCCCACCGAAUCAAAUCGCACUACCAGCCUCGUCUGCCUUGCCGUGCCUGCGUCCCUCCCCGGACGGCAGCGACGAUGGAGGAAGCCACUGGCGCUGGCCAGGCCCCCGGUCGAUGGACGCGGCGGAUCGUCGCUCCUCAGGGCCAGCCCCUCCCAUUGCGCUGGAUCACGUGGCAGCCUAGGUAACCCUAACCAGCCCCCGAUAUUCGUAUCUCUCCCUGAAUCCCUCCUCCUCCAUGAGCCGCGCGGUGUGCUUCCCUCCUCCCACACGCUGCUCCUCUCCCUCCCCAAAUCGACAUGGAUCUCACACUGCUAGAUGCAGUAGACGAAACUGAUCUAAUCUGAUCCUGAGUUCCCAAGUCCUGAUGAGAAAGUACACCUGCGUGGAUCCAAGUCUGAGUUGGGAGCGACAUCGAUCCGAUGAACAUGCAAGGAAUUUCUGAAUCCAGGACUUCUAUUUGAGUAUAUACGUUUGUUGGUUAUUGAAGUCAAUUGUUCAUACAACAACAGAUAUUUUUUAGCACGAAUUCCAGUAGUUGUGUUUGCUUAUUUUGAAGGCGGAUCUUGGAUUCUUUCCAAUAGUUGUGUUGCACGAAAUUCCAAUUAUUUGAGUAUCUGUACUAUAGUUGCCUUCAAAGAAGAUGAGGCUGGAAUGCUGGAUACUGCAUCUCUCCUAGCACGAGGAACGUUGCUACUAUCUUUGUGAACAGGUUGACGAUAGGAGAUGAAGUACGUUUGAACAAACAUGUUCUUUCACUUUUCCCAAUGAGGUGGAGCUUGCACAUAUGGACAUAUGGUACACUUGCACGGGUUGCAAGGUUCUCAUCGCCAUUGGAUUGAAUACGGAAAAAUGGAGAAAAAUUGCAUGAACCAAAUACAAUAUCUAUGUCUCCUCAUUCGCAGGGUAGGAUGAAGUUGCUGAGGAUGCACGUGUACCCGAGGAACAAGUACCACCCGCCGCUGCAGAUGACGAGGUUGGGAAAGGGCGCCAACUGCGAGAACGUCUUCAGUACCAUGGUCUAUCUCUCACCCAAAGGUUCCACUCAAUCGAUGCAUUAACUGAUGUACUCCAGUUCCAUUACCCGAGGAACUAAUAUGGCAUAUUUUGUUUUCUGCAACAUGGUGGGUUGGGAACUCGGGAUGAAGGAAGAAUACUCCUGAGAGCCCAAACUCGAGCUUCCAAAAGAUAUGCGUAAUUAUGCUGAAGGUUGAUACUGAGGCUGUCACUAUGAAGAAUAUUUGCCUCUCAGUUUAAAUUCCUCGGUAAAGAUUCGGAGGUAGGACCACAUGAACAAGCAGGUUGUUGUCCAAGCAUAGUUGCUACUGCAAGAGCCAGCAUCAGACAACAUCCGAUCUAUACAAAAUCCAUCCAUCUGUCUCGUCUCAUGCAUGCAUAACCAGGACGAUGGUAACUUGUCUACUAUUCUACUCACUGCAGUUUACGAUAAUUUGUCUACUACUCUACUUAAGCUUGAGGGUGAAGUGGACGAUAAGUUGUAUUAUUGACCAAGUAUAUCUUGUUCAUAAGCCUAAGAUUUGCAUACACCAUAGAAGCCGUAUAUAUCUUUGAGAUGAUCAGUCCAUGGCUGAUAUUGCUAGAGCAGGAGGGCGAGGCAGUGGCAAAGGUAGUCAGUGUGUUUAGAUCUUGAACCAGUUUGGGCUUGCCCAUCUGAGUGCCGGCGAUCUUCUUUGCAAAAAAGUUAAAUCCGAGCAAGGGUAACAAUCUGCUCUCAGUGUAUUUCAACCCUCAUUUAAGCAUAUCACAUUCCACUUUCAUUUUAUUUAUUUACUUUUAAGAGCUCUGCUUUAGGGUUCGGUGUCGUAUUUGUAUCAUCUUUAUAUAACCUUUUUUGUUUAGAAACAAAAGUUGCGUGUGCAAUGUUGAAGCUUGUUACGAUAUUAUUAUUGCA